rnacentral:tRNA from 2 species
GCGGUUGUGGUGAAGCGGUUAACACACCGGAUUGUGGCUCCGGCAUUGGAGGGUUCAACUCCCUUCAGCCGCCCCA